GCUGGCGGCAUGCCUCAUACAUGCAAGUCGAACGAAAUCUUCGGAUUUAGUGGCGCACGGGUGAGUAACAUGUGGGAAUCUACCUGAAGGUUCGGAAUAACUGCGGGAAACUGUAGCUAAUACCGGAUGUGUCUGUAAAGAGAAAGAUUUAUCGCCUUCAGAUGAGCCCGCACUAGAUUAGCUAGUUGGUGAGGUAAUUGCUCCACCAAGGCUACGAUCUAUAGCUGAUUUGAGAGGAUGAUCAGCCACACUGGGACUGAGACACGGCCCAGACUCCUACGGGAGGCAGCAGUAGGGAAUAUUGGACAAUGGGGGAAACCCUGAUCCAGCAAUGCCGCGUGAGUGAAGAAGGCCUUCGGGUUGUAAAACUCUUUCAUCAAUGAUGAUAAUGACAUUAGUUGAAGAAGAAGCUCCGGCUAACUUCGUGCCAGCAGCCGCGGUAAUACGAAGGGGGCUAGCGUUGUUCGGAAUCACUGGGCGUAAAGCGUAUGUAGGCGGAUCAAAAAGUUAGAUGUGAAAUCCCUGGGCUCAACCCAGGAACUGCAUUUAAAACUAGUGAUCUAGAAUUUGGUAAAGGUUAGUAGAAUUUCCAGUGUAGAGGUGAAAUUCGUAGAUAUUGGAAAGAAUACCAGAAGCGAAGGCGACUAACUAGGCCAUUUUUGACGCUGAGAUACGAAAGCGUGGGUAGCAAACAGGAUUAGAUACCCUGGUAGUCCACGCAGUAAACGAUGAGUGCUAGUCGCUGGUACAGUAGUAUCAGUGUCGUAGCUAACGCAUUAAGCACUCCGCC
rnacentral:rRNA from 1 species